CCUGUUGCGGCGCCCCGUUAUCCUUAGCUUCAGUAAAAUUGAUCCUGAAUAAGGCAAGUUGUUGAUUCCUUUUGUCCUAGACCUUCUCCAUUUUUUCUACAGUAUUGUUUGUGGUACAUCAAAUGGAUCACGGUUACACUGUUAGUUCUUCAAUGAUGAAACUGGAAGGCGCUGUCCAAAACCUUGCUUAUCUUGUAUGGGCCAUAAACUCACCCUUCAAUUAGAGAGAACUACAAAUAGGCAACAUUGUGUUGGAUAGAGUUGUGAUUAUGAAUCAGGAGACAUGGAUUCCACGCCCAUACUGUCAUAUGUAUCUGCAAAUAAGUUUGCAAUUUGCAUUUACGAUAUUACAUUUUGUGAAUAGGGUGUGGGUGUAUGGGUUGCAACAAUUUUAUCUACAAAAGCUUUUGACUUAUUUGCACAUGGUAGUAGUAGUGGAUAAAUCUAUUGCCAUUUUCACUUCAUUGAAAACAUACUAAUAACUUUGCUGGGAGAGGAACAGGACAUUGACUGGGAGUUGUCUGAUUGAAGAUUGUUAAAUCUUCAACCUUUUUAUGUUCCGCUAACAUGCUUACAUUUCUUUCGGGAAUCAUUAUUUCAGGUUACAUCCCCUUUUGGAGACAUUGUUCAUAAGAAAGAAAAGGUUUCAAUGGAGCAAUUUGCAUUUACCACAGCAGAAGCAGGGAACUACCUUGCCUGCUUCUCGAUUGAUGGUGAGGACAGAGGGUUAGCGGUGAAACUAAAUCUUGAUUGGAAAGUUGGGAUAGCUACUAGAGACUGGAAUUCUGUUGCUAAAAAGGAAAAGAUCGAGGUAAAGUAUAUGAAAAUGAGGUGUUACCCUGCCAGUUGUUGUUUUGUUUUAUUCCCCUUCCAUAUGACAUCAAGUUUCAUAAUCAGGGAGUCGAACUGGAGUUACUCAAGCUUGAAGUUGCUGUCCAAUCAAUCCAAGACAACCUGCUUCUUCUAAAAUCCAAGUCUGUGCAUCCACUUAUUUUC
rnacentral:lncRNA from 1 species